UGGACCCCCAAAUUCAUCAUUACGAAUUUUUUUGCGAUAAAUAAAGAGAAAAAGAUGUCCUACGGUACAAUACUAGUCGAACUUACUCCCAAAAAAAUAAAGCUUUUGUAGAUCCUGAUAUCAUCAGAGAUGAUAUAGAAGAUGCCGAUGUGGAAGAGGAAGAUAGAGAGGACAUUUUCAAUGAAAAUUAUUCGAUUGCUUUACUAUCUUCGGCCACUUUACUCUGUCUUCUGUGCGUGUUAAUGGUGAAUGAAAGGUGCUGAUGAAGGAGAUGCAAAAUGAAGCGAUGAAGGGCAUGAAGAUAUAUCAUGGAAUCGAAAAGAUACAUCAUAUAAAAUAAUAUAAAUGCUAUGUAUCUCGAUUUUGUGAGAUACAUAAGAAUGAUGUAUCUGAUUGAGAAUAUGACAAACAAUAUUUAUCAUAAUUUUUUUGUGUGUUCUUGAUACAUAAAACUUAUGUAUCGGAAUGAGAUAUGUAUUACUGAUACAUAAAAAUUGAUUGAUUAGUUAUAUAUGGAAAAGUAAUGUAUUCGAAUGGUGAUGUAUUGUGACCCUAGGUAAUGUAUUCGGCAAUUCAAAAUGUGAAAUUUUAUGUAAUUUUGAAAAAACAGAAAUAAGAUUUAAUUAAAUACUAAACAAUUAAGACAAUUAAAUACCAUGAAUUUGAGGAAUAAAAAUUAAAUAUCACCCCAAAACAAAUACAUUUCUGCAAAUGACCUAAAUUUAGCUCAUUAAAUUUAAAUCUUAAUCCAAAUUUAAGGUAAGUGAAGGAUUUGUUGUGUAGUGCAAUUGUUGAUGUGGCCAGUGGCCAUGCCAUUAUCCUUGGCCCUGCCACACUGCAAGAGUAGCCCACUACGUCCAAAUGACUUGUUUUUAUAUGAAUUCUAUUUUAUACGGUCACACAGUCUUGGAUUCUCUAUCAACCCCCAGUAAAUAGCAGGCAAGAAACCACAGAGUCUUGCCAGUGUUUCCACUAAUAAUAGUCCUAGCCACAUCAGUGUUCUGCUGCCUUUGUCUUAGCUAAGUAAUGGGAAUUGUGGAACUCCUUAAAAUAAAGACAUAAAGGCGUUCCGUGCAUCGAGAAACCAAUAAGAUAUUCUGAUUAAAAAAAGAAGGUUGUGGGAGGUUGACCGUUAAAAUCUAAAAAUGAUCAUAGGUUGUGGGAGGUUGACCGUUAAAAUCUAAAAAUGAUCAUAAAAUAAAUAACCUCGAUAUAUAUCUUUCUUAGAGUCUUCAAAAAUGUUGGUCCGCCGGUAUUAGAUUCUCCAAAAUUGACUUGUUCUGAUGUAUGAUUACCUUAUCAAAUUCUUUUUUUUUUCUUUUCUCUCUCUUUACAUGUGUACAUAAAUGUGAUGAAAACCUUGUUCACCAUUAGGCAUCUACCAAACAUACUGCGAGUUACUCCGCCUACCUAGCGACAAGAACCAACAUAUUGCACAUAAUUAAUAUAAGCAUUUAUCCACUUAACAUCCAAGUUCCUUGUUUAUCUCAUACUUUGAGCAAUGAAAACUGGAACGAGAGUGAGAAAAUCCAUAACAGUAGCAGUUCUUCCAGUGGCGUUCCUAUUCCUGCUUUCUUUUGUAGCUUGUACAGGACCAUUAAGGUGGAUUCUUCUAUCAAGCUAUCUCAUCUACUACCUAUCUUUGUGUCUCUGGAUUUUGGCUGCAUUGCAUACUACAUGACAUUCGAUCUGUAUACCAUCAUGAAGGGACCAAAAUGAGUGAUUUCCAUCAUUCACCGACUCUAUUUUCUUGGUCUUGUUCUCGAGCUAUCUAUUACUUUUUGCUUUCCAGCAACCUCUUUGAAAGAAUCAACAAUCUCGUUGUGUAAUGAAGCAUGAAGAGGAUAACGUAUAAUAUUCAUUUUCAGCACGUUAAUUUAAACAACCCAUGUCUUCAAUGUUCUGGGCAUCUCCAUAUCACACCUGCUCUUUUAUUGGGGUUUUCAUGUAGUAUUGAGCAAGUUCGAAAGGUGCCAAAUUUUGUCUCAGGUAACUCGCAAAUGUAACUAAACUUUGAUUCAGAAUAUACGACAGCAUAAUCUCUGAGAUGUUUAAAGAUGUUACUAUCUUGGGAUAAAUAAGCAAUCAAGUUAUAAAGAAAACGAUGGAUGCUGUGACCCAUUGACAUUCGAAGUUUUUGCUUGAAAUCACUACUCGCAUGUUGUAGGGAUACUUGAGGACAAUGGAUGCUUAUCUUAGCAGAAUUCAGAGGCAACAAAGUGCACGAUUACUUCUCUCAAUUCAUAGAGUCAAAAUAGUUUUAAGAAGUUUUUACUUAACUGCAUACGCUCUUCUAGUUUAAUCAAAGAAUAAAAACUUAGAAGUGCAGUCACUUGUCAAAAACAUUACACAAAUACUAGAUUCAGCUGAAAAACUACGUUAAAUCCCACAUGUCAGUUCAACGAUGGAACAGAUAACCAAUAGAACGAAAUAAAAAAUUCUAAGAAUAUCCGCAUUAUGAUAGCAUCCAACAAGAACAGAAAUAUUUUACACUGGUAACAUCAAAAUAAUUGGAUGCGCAUAAACAAGAAAAGCAUUAUAUGACGAGCAGAAGAAAUUAACUGAUAAAACAAAUAAAUAUAUUAAGAUAAAACGAACAGCAGUACGACCAUUACAAUGCUAUGGUGAAAGAUACAUCAAAAGUUUCACCAUCUAAACUCCCGGGGAUAUUAUACAAUUCUCAUUUCUUGGUAGUUAGUGUUUUCUUGGCCUUCAAAAGCUAUCUACUAA